rnacentral:rRNA from 1 species
AUGCAACACCCUGAAGCUCGACAAUACACGUACAUAGAAUUUCCAGAAUAUUGGACAUGGCACCAGCAAGGGAAAUACUGGGAUCAUCGUCGAGGUCCUCAAAAAAAAAUUGGCCGAGUGGCACAUGUCAACCCUUCACAAGGAGAGCCUUUCUAUUUGCGAAUGUUGCUGAACAUUCGUAAAGGUCCAACCUCCUUUGCUGAUAUCAGGACUAUAUCAGGCCAAGAAUAUCCUACAUUUCGUUCAGCAUGUGAAGCUUUAGGCCUCCUAGGUGAUGACCAAGAGUGGUCCAAUGCAUUAAAAGAUGCGGCUCAGUGGGCAUCGCCAUUCCAAUUACGUCAGCUUUUUGUUACCCUUUUGCUUUUUUGCAAUGUA